CAUCGCUCUUUGUAAAACCACCAUAUAAAUAAAGAGUACUGCCUGCCCAGUGAAUAAAAUUUUUAACGGCCGCGGUAUCUUGACCGUGCUAAGGUAGCAUAAUAAUUUGCUCUUUAAUUGAGGGCUAGAAUGAAAGGCAAGACGAAGGCAAAACUGUCUCCCUAUUUAAAAAAGAAAUUAGUAUUCUAGUGAAGAAACUAAAAUAAAAACGCAAGACGAGAAGACCCUGUCGAGCUUAAGAAAAUUUUUAUAUUUAUAUAAUAAAAGUAAGCUAAUAUAUCUUAAAUUUAUACUUUCAAUUUUUAAAAAAUAAAAAUAUCUUUGGUUGGGGCAACCACGAAGAAAAUAAAACCUUCGAUUUUUAAUAAAAAUUUACAAAUUUAAUAUUUUUAAAAAUUUAUAAAUUGAUCCGGAAUUUCCGAACAAAGAAAAAAGUUACCGCAGGGAUAACAGCGUUAUUCUCUUUAAGAGCCCAUAUUGACAAGAGAGUUUGCGACCUCGAUGUUGGACCGGGGCAUCCUAGAAAUGCAGAAGUUUCUAAAGGUAGGUCUGUUCGACCUUUAAAGCCCUACGUGA
rnacentral:rRNA from 1 species